rnacentral:lncRNA from 1 species
GUGAUUAACUGUUAGCCUGGUGGAGGGGAGUGAGGAAGCAGUGAGAUAGAGAUCACAGCUUCUGGACUUGGAUCUCCCUCUGAUUCAGCUUGUCAUCCUACUUUGGUUCCUGAUCAUUCAUGCGCGAUCCCAGUCAAUGAAGAAACUGAGACGGAAAAGUUAAGUGACUUGUCUCCAGGAUCCCACAACUAAUAACCAAGAAGCAACCUUGAGAUGGAUGUGACCAGAAUCAGAGGUCAAGAAGCAGGAGAAAGAGAACAAUUGCCUUGAUCCAGCUUCAGCAGGAUAAAAGUGGAAAAGAACACCACACAGAACAAGCAGCAGUGGGAGGAAGGUAGCCCUGCAUAAUCCAGCCAGGUCAGAUGCCAGGUAUGACCCAGUACAGCAACCAGUGAGAAGAACUCAGACCAGCAAAGUCCAGCCUCAGUAGGAUUGGGCAGAAUCCAACUCAAGUGAGUUGAACUGAAAUGAUGAAGACCUCCCAAAGCAGCAUGCCAAACAAACUAUCUUUGUAGAAAGCUAAAUAUGAGACAUAAUUAGUUGAGCUGAUCUUAGGCUCAGUACAAGCAUAGCAUAUUACUUCCUCUGCCCCAAGAAUGGAGCUAAGUGUCAUCAUAUAAACAAAACGAAGGGAGAAAAUAACCCAGAAAUGAACAAAAUACAUAAAAAGAGCUUCUGCUAAAAAGAUAUUUAAAUAAGAGAAAUGCCCAAAAUACAUGCUCAG